GAUGAACGCUGGCGGCGUGCUUAAUACAUGCAAGUCGAACGAAGACAGUAGCAAUAUUGUCUGAGUGGCGAACGGGUGAGUAACGCGUUGGUGACCUGCCCCGAAGAGAGGGAUAACAGUCCGAAAGGAUUGCUAAUACCCCAUGUGGUUAUUUGGAUUAGAUGCCUUAUAACUAAACGGAUUUAUUCGCUUCGGGAGGGCCUGCGUCCCAUCAGCUAGUUGGUAGGGUAAUGGCCUACCAAGGCUUCGACGGGUAGGGGACCUGAGAGGGUGGUCCCCCACACUGGCACUGAAACACGGGCCAGACACCUACGGGUGG
rnacentral:rRNA from 1 species